rnacentral:rRNA from 1 species
UACCAUGGCUUUCACGGGUAACGGAGGAUUAGGGUUCGAUUCCGGAGAGGGAGCCUGAGAAACGGCUACCACAUCUACGGAAGGCAGCAGGCGCGUAAAUUACCCAAUCCUGAUUCAGGGAGGUAGUGACAAGAAAUAACGGACUGAGGCCUACGCUUCAGGAUUGCAAUGAGUAGAAUUUAAACCCCUUUGCGAGGAUCAAUUGGAGGGCAAGUCUGGUGCCAGCAGCCGCGGUAAUUCCAGCUCCAAUAGCGUAUAUUAAAGUUGUUGCAGUUAAAAAGCUCGUAGUUGGACUUCUGGGAGGGUGCCAAUGUCCGCUUGUUAGCGUGUGCAGCGGCGCCCUUCCAUCCUUCUGUUAACGAUUCUUGGUAUUCACUUACUGGUUUCGGGCUCAGAUAUUUUACCUUGAGAAAAUUAGAGUGUUUCAGGCAGGCUUGCGCCGGAAUACAUUAGUAUGGAAUAAUAGAAUAGGACUUGAGUCUCCUUUGUUGGUUCGAGGGACUGAAGUAAUGAUUAAUAGGGAUAGUUGGGGGCAUUAGUAUUUAAUUGUCAGAGGUGAAAUUUUCGGAUUUGUUAAAGACUAACUUAU